UACAGAGGGUGCGAGCGUUAAUCGGAAUUACUGGGCGUAAAGCGUGCGUAGACGGUUAUUUAAGUCAGGUGUGAAAUCCCAGGGCUCAACCCUGGAACUGCGCCCGAUACUGCAGUGCUUGAGGGAGACAGAGGUAAGCGGAACUGAUGGUGGAGCGGUGAAAUGCGUUGAUAUCAUCAGGAACACCAGUGGCGAAAGCGGCUUACUGGGUCUCUUCUGACGCUGAGGUACGAAAGCUAGGGGAGACGAAGGGGAUUAGGAAACCCUAAGG
rnacentral:rRNA from 1 species